GUCCGCUGCAUUGAACUCAGCGGCCCGCCGAAAGAAGAACAGUGAGGACAAACCAUUCUCAGCGGUCAGCUGUACUGCAGUCAGGGACCGCUGAGGCGAGUCAGACACGACAUUUUAUUUAAGAUCACCUUCUCAAAUUCUUUGGAUUCUACCAAAUUGUUCUUGUGCUCAAUUGUCAACCAACGCAAGGUACAAAAGCAUCCCAAAGGAAUUCCCGCGAUAGGGGAUAACUCAUGAACUUCAAAGAACGUCAAGCUAAAGAUGAAAAAUAAGCGCUUGUUGGGAGGCAACCCAACCAUGUAUUUUCAGGUUUUGCAGUAUUUUUGUGUUUUAAAUUCGUUUUGUGUUGAUUGAAAUUUUUGCAGCUUCUGGACCAUUCCCAGCGACCGCUGUGGCACGUGCAGCGGCCCGCUGGCGACUCACUGGACAAGUUCUGACACUCCACAGCGACCGCUGGAGGGCCCCCAGCGACCG